UACGAAGGGGGCUAGCGUUGCUCGGAAUCACUGGGCGUAAAGGGUGCGUAGGCGGGCUUUUAAGUCAGAGGUGAAAUCCUGGAGCUCAACUCCAGAACUGCCUUUGAUACUGAGAAUCUUGAGUUCGGGAGAGGUGAGUGGAACUGCGAGUGUAGAGGUGAAAUUCGUAGAUAUUCGCAUGAACACCAGUGGCGAAGGCGGCUCACUGGCCCGAUACUGACGCUGAGGCACGAAAGCGUGGGGAGCAAACAGG
rnacentral:rRNA from 1 species